rnacentral:tRNA from 1 species
GGCGCUAGGGGCAGUCGGUUAAGCCACCAGGUUUUCAUCCUGGGGUGCUCAGUUCAAUUCUGGGUAGCGCUACCA